UCUGGUGUCAGCUAGCUACACUGCGGGGCUCUUGCCACGAUCUUCGGCCACACCGCUCGCACUGGAACCUGUAUGGUUAGUGGUGUGAGAACUACAGAAAAGUUCCCAGUGGGUUCGGCCGCCGACCCCGCCGACUCACCCACUAGAUCUAUUCAGGCAUAUGUAGGCAAAAGAAGUAAACAGAUAGUAACCAACUAUAAUAUGUAACUACUACAACGCCUGUACAAAGCGGAAAGAAAGCAAUGUAGGAAAACUGUAAAUAUGCAUGCAUAUUGUAAUAUACCACUGCCCAAUCAAUCUAGCUAACCAUUUGGUUAACUGCAACUUACAACUCAAUCCCUGGCGGGCCCUAAGCUGCCUCCCGACGGGAUCGUCUGCUGGACAGAUACUUUAGUCCAUGGGCAAAUACUUUAGCCCAUCGUGUGACAACUCCGGAGUGCACUGCUCGGGUGGAGCGACCACCGCCGAGCUCAAAACAGACUAUGUGAGUAUGAUCUCAUCCCCCUUUAGAGGAUUCCACUGAGAGACAAUGUCACAUUUUAACUCUAACUAGCUCUUUAUGCUAGUUUCAUAAAUUCAUUUCUCGAUGCUAACCAAAUCUCUAGUUAGAACGUCACCAAGUUCACUAUUGUUAUAGUCCAUGCAUUCAUAGGGUUCUAUGUCCACAUACUAAGGUUCACAAGUUCUCACUAUUGAUAGUAAUUCACCUUUUCACUUGCACAAUGCCAAACACCCUAUAAUGCAUGACUACAAAUAUAAAUAUGCUCAAUGAAUAAUCAUAGACAUAAAAGGUGAUUCAAAGAUUUCGGAUAGCACCACCCACCUGUAGUGGUGUCAACAACUAGAAUCCACGUCUCGAAGUGUGUCGACAAUUAGCUCUCGCGACUCGGUGUAAAUAGAACUAGAACGGUCUCUACCGUAAUUAGCGCGUCGUCGACCUGUCGGAAUGUCAAUUUAGAUCUUCGAGUACGUUUAACUUUCAUUUGUAUAAGAAUAAAAGAGAUUACACUAGAGUCACAUUUACAUAUUUUGCAAGUUUGCAUUUCCACUCCAACUUGCAUGUAUAUAUAUAUAUAUAUAUAUAUAUAUACACAUAGUGUUAACAUACACCCAUACAUAUAUCCUGCUAUUCAUUCCUUAUGGUAGUAUAGGAGUCCAGCAGCCACAAUUAUUUACCAUUAUCUCUCUUUAGGUGAUAAAUAUUAAUUCUGAUACUUAAUAUUACAUUCUAACUUUAGCUCAUGUAUAUAUGUAUCACUACAUACAUACUAUAUAUAUAUAUAUAUAGUGGAAGCUAGUUUCAUAGAAUUCCAAUUAGGAGUUCCAUCAAUGCAGUUUUGCUUUUCUAUAGGCUCAAACACUCAUAGAACUCCUAAUUAACAACUUUCUAUUACCAUUAACUGAAUUUCAAUUAAGAUUCAAUCUAAAAUUAUUUCAGAUUUCAUUCUUGAUAAACUUUACAUACACUUAGCUAUAUACAUGUAUAUAUUGCUUUUAACAGGAUUCUAGGACUUUUACAUUUUACUGUAAGCUUCUAAUCCUAAAAAAAAUCUCUCAUAAAGUAGUUAAAUGGACCACUUAGAAGCUUCUCUUAUGCAAUUAUAUUAAUCCUAGCUUAACUUCCUUAGGUAGCUACUAGCAUCAAUUCCAUUUAGCAAUUCUAUUGCUCAUACUACUGGUGGAGCAAUCUUGGUAAUUUUAAACAGGGAAAAAUCAACUUAUUCCUAAUUGCACUUCCACUAAUACAUAGUUCAUAAUUAUCAAACUUAUUUUGGGGUUUAAUUAGCUCAAUAGCCAUAUUCCUUCAAAUUAGCCUCUUUAUAAGGUAAGUAAUUGAUCCAUAAUCAGAACUUGAGUAAUUACUUUACCUCAAAGCAGCAACUUCAGCAAUACUUAAUUAAGGCACCAACAUAGCAGCUCCAAACUUCCUUAAUUAAGGCAUCAACAUCGCAGCUCCAAUCUUCCUUAAUUAAGGCAUCAACAUCGCAGCUCCAAUCUUCCUUAAUUAAGGCAUCAACAUAGCAGCUCCAAACUUCCUUAAUUAAGGCAUCUAAUAUUAUUCAGAUCAGCGAAGGCUCAUCUGUUUACUUAAUUGGAAGUUUUCACCAAGCUUCUCCUUCAAUCCGAGACACUAAAGAAGCUCCAUCAGCUCUCUUCAAUUUUGGCACCCACAACACCCUCCAUGUUUGCCAGCAGGAAAUUCACAUAUAUAGCAUCUCUAAAGUAAAUAGUUUAGCUGAAAAAUCAAAUACUAACUCCCACUUACCUUACUUUAGGUGCUCUACCAUUUUACUUUCAGCUCUACAGGCCCAACCACCAUGCUCAGCAGUUCUUCUCCAGAUCAAAGCUGUCAAUAUCCCUAAUCUGCCCAUUAAUUUACCAAGUUUUUAAAUUCUGGCAGCAGUAAAGUCAUCAUCUAGCUCUUCUCUAAGAUGACUGACUUGGCUCGCAUCAAUUAUUAACUAGGCUUACCUCGAUUAGAUACUCCCUCAAAUUAAUCUCAGCUUCAAAAUCCUUCCUUGCUGCUCCACAGCAAGAACUCAAUUCUCCAAGCUGCCACUUCUUUUUAUCAUCAACUCACCUAGGCUUUUCCUCAGCUCUAACAGCUCGACAGCACCACCAAUCCCCUCGGCUAGAGAGAGAAAGAAGAAAUUAGAUAGAGAGAGUUGAGGAAACAGUAAUCCUUAUCCUCUAACAGGUGCUGGCUACCUGGGUAAAGUGAUAAGAUCAGCAAUUUGUUGUUUAAUCCCUCAAAUCAGCAAUAAUGCAUCACAACCCUGCAGUUACAAUCUAGUCCCUGCAGUCUCGCAAUUUAGUCCCUGCACCAACUAGAACCUGGCAGCAGCAACUUUGAAGCUUAUUUCACGCGUCCGGCUUACUUCGAACACUUAUAAUCACUUCCAAAUUAUGCCGAAUAAUCUCUACAAACGACUAAAUUAAUUUGGAAGCGAUUAAUUCUCAUUUUCGCAUUAUUGUGAUCAAUUUAGUCACAAUUAGCUCAUAACUAACAUUCAAUAUAUUACAAUCUCCCCUCCUUAAAUAGUUUCGUCCUCGAAACUUAAAUUUAUACCUUAAUUCUCCUGGUUGAAUAGGUGAGGAUAGGAUUCACGCAUAGCUUCUUCCAAUUCCCAAGUAGCCUCUCGUCCUGAGUGAUUGCUCCAUUGUACUUUCACAUAGGGAAUAGUGCGAUUUCGCAGCUCUCGCACUUCUCGAUCAAGGAUGCAUACUGGAUACUCUUCAUAAGUCAUAUCCUCUUGUAAAUCUACAGGCUCGUACUCCAUAACAUGCCCUGAAUGAUGCACAUAUUUUCGGAGAUUCGAAACAUGAAAUACAUUGUGAAUCCCUUCAAACUUCGGCGGUAGAGCCAAUCGAUAGGCUACUGCUCCAACUCGCUCUAGGAUCUCGUAAGGUCCAAUAUAUCGAGGACUAAGCUUUCCUCGAACACCAAAUCUCUUUAUCCCGCGCAUUGGCGAUACCUUCAAGAAUACCCGAUCACCAACCACAAACUCCAAGUUCUUUCGGCGCUUAUUUGCAUAACUCUGCUGUCGUGACUGAGCAGUCAAUAAUCUCUGGCGGACUAGGUGUACCUUUUCCUCCGCCUCCUGGAGUACAUCAGGACCAAGAACCAUUCUUUCUCCUACUUCACUCCAAGGGAUAGGGGAUCGACACUUUCUCCCGUAGAGAGCUUCAAACGGUGCCAUUGCGAUGCUUCCUUGGUAGCUAUUAUUGUAUGCAAACUCAGCCAUCGCCAAUGAAUCAUGCCAACUCCCUCUGAAAUCAAGCACACACGCCCGUAGCAUGUCCUCCAAUAUCUGAAUCGUUCUCUCAGACUGUCCAUCAGUCUGAGGAUGAAAAGCUGUACUAAAAUCAAGACGUGUGCCCAGAGUCUCCUGUAAACUCCUCCAGAAGUGGGAUGUAAACCGCGGGUCUCGAUCAGAUACAAUCGACGUCGGGACUCCGUGUAAUCUCACAACCUCGUCGAGGUACACCUGUGCUAACUUGUCCCCUGACCAAGUAGCAUGAAUCGGCAAGAAAUGCGCCGACUUCGUCAAUCGAUCAACGAUCACCCAAACGGUAUCAUGUCCAGCCUGGGAUCGAGGUAAUCCCACAAUGAAGUCCAUCGCAAUGUUCUCCCACUUCCAGACAGGAAUAGGUAAGCUCUGCAACUUUCCUGCAGGAAAUCUACGCUCAGCCUUCACUUGCUGACAUGUCAAACACUGCGCCACAAACUGUCCAACAUCCUUCUUCAUUCCAGGCCACCAAUAAUGUACUUUAAGAUCCUUGUACAUUUUAGUGCCACCUGGAUGCACACUAUAGGGUGAUUGAUGAGCUUCCUGUAGUAUAACCCGUUGGAUCUCUUCGUCUUUAGGCGCACAUAACCGGUUUCGAAAUCGAAGUGCUCCGUCAGAUCCCACCGUAAAAUCAUCCCCUCGCCCGCUUUCAACUUCACACCGCACUCUUUGGAGAUACAGAUCUAAAGAUUGCCGAUCUUUAAUCCGUUCCAACAAAGUCGGUUGAACAACUAGGGUGGCAAGAAUAGCUGGUACAUCUGGAGCUACUACCUCAAGAUCAAACCGCCGCAUUUCAUUCUGCAACGACGGUUGAUGCGUGAUCAUCAUAGCCAAGUUCUCCACUGACUUCCUACUCAAUGCAUCAGCAACCACAUUCGCCUUUCCUGGGUGGUAUAGAAUAUUAACAUCAUAAUCUUUCAACAAUUCUAACCACCGGCGUUGUCGCAUGUUCAGCUCUUUCUGGGUGAAUAAAUACUUCAGGCUCUUGUGAUCUGUAUAAAUUUCACAAUGCUCGCCAUAAAGGUAAUGUCUCCACAAUUUCAGUGCGAAGAUCACCGCCGCCAAUUCCAAAUCAUGAAUAGGAUAAUUCUUUUCAUAAUUCUUUAACUGGCGAGACGCAUAAGCAAUCACUCGACCACCCUGCAUAAGUACACACCCAAGUCCACUGUAUGAGGCGUCACUGUAGUUCACAAAACUCUCCCCCAAAAUCGGCAAGGCAAGAAUAGGAGUCGAAGUCAACCUUUCUUUCAACUCCCUAAAGCUACGAUCACAUUCAUCGCUCCAAACAUAUUUAGUUCCUUUAUGUGUAUGUUAGUGGAGUAGUAAUCUUCGCAAACCCUUCCACGAACCGUCUAUAGUAUCCCGCGAGUCCAAGGAAACUGCGGAUCUCUAGCACAGUCGUCGGGCGAGGCCAAUCUUUAAUUGCCUCUGCUUUCUUUGGGUCAACAGCUACACCACCCUCAGAAAUCACAUGCCCCAAAAAUGCAACCUCUCGCAGCCAAAAUUCACAUUUCUUCAAUUUGGCAUAUAAUUGUUUCUCCCGAAGAAUUUGCAUCACUGUUCUCAAGUGUUCUUCGUGCUCCUCAUUACUUCGAGAAAAGAUCAGGAUAUCAUCUAUAAAUACCACUACACACUGAUCCAACAGCGGCUUAAAGAUCCUGUUCAUUAGAUCCAUAAAUGCUGCAGGGGCAUUGGUCAGCCCAAACGGCAUCACUGUAAAUUCAUAGUGACCAUAACGAGUGCGAAACGCUGUCUUAUGCACAUCCUCUGGUUUAAUCUUCAAUUGGCGGUAACCUGAUUGAAGAUCAAUCUUCGAAUACACUCGUGAACCUUGCAACUGAUCAAAUAAAUCAUCGAUUCGCGGCAACGGAUAUUUAUUCUUGAUUGUGAUCCUGUUCAGUUCACGAUAAUCAACACACAGUCGAAGCGUUCCGUCUUUUUUCUUUACAAACAAAACAGGAGCUCCCCAGGGUGAUACACUAGGCUUCACAAAGCCUUUAUCCAUCAAAUCCUGCAACUGAGCUUUCAACUCUCUCAACUCAGCAGGUGCCAUUCUGUAUGGAGCCUUCGAAAUUGGCGCCGUUCCGGGAACCAAAUCAAUAACAAACUCAAUUUCCCGAUCCGGCGGCAAUCCCGGUAACUCCGCAGGAAAUACAUCAGGAAACUCUCGAACCACUGGAAUAUCACUCAGUGCUGGAAGUUCCUUUUGAGUCUCCACUACAGUCGCCAAAUAGUACGAUAUGUAAAGAGAUAAACCUGCAACUACUCUAUCAUGCCAGUAAAAAAAAAUGAAGUCAUGUCCAGUGAGUAUAUAAAAGUACAUACAAUGCAAUCUUACAACAUACAACUAUUUCUACUCGAAGUAAUAAUGCAAGUCUACAUAUGCAUCUCAUGUUUAUUACCCAAUCUACUAGCGCCAACCUUGCCUAAGAUCUCAAAUCUCAAAGGUCCUAGACAAAGAGGUCUACCCCGCUCUUUGCUCGACUCAAUCUCGAAGGUCCUAGGCAAAAGCUACCCCGCUCCUCGCCGGACUCAAUCUCGCUCUAUUAGGUAGGCGAGCUGGCUACAUAGUAAUGGAUAUACACAUGCCUACUAUGCCUCUGUAAUCCAUGAAUGCAUGAUGCAUGUAUNNNNNNNNNNNNNNNNNNNNNNNNNAGCCGCAACAUCAACACAUAACUUUCUUGCUCUCGUCGACGAUAACAGUCAGUGCAAAAGCGAUACUCUGCACCCCACGACAUAUACAACUUCUUUGCCCGGUUCAACGAAAAUAAAAUUUUCACUAUUCACAAUUAAUCGUGGCAUAGUACUUGCAAGCCAAUCCAUUCCAAAGGAUAAAACAUCAAAAGCCUUUCAAUACCGGCUUAACAACUACACAAUCUGCUGGCAUAAUCUCCAAUCACCGAAUCUCGUACUGGACAUGCCCGCACACGAACUUCGUGGACACUAAAUGCUCAGGCAUAUACCCACCAGCAUCAGCACUAAUCCGAAAUCUCAAUUCAUGCGGCUUAGCCAAAUGACUACCUGAUGAAGAAUGCGAUGCACCUGUGUCAAAUAACACGAAGAUCAUGCCAUUAAAGUUAAAACAAUACCGCACGAGCCUCAACUACGGCCCUGCCCUCUAUCCUGGCUCAAUACACGAACUCGGUCAGAUCGAGGUGUGUCACGGGUACCGCCGGUGCAGAUCGAAGUGGCUCGUACUGACGCGCAAAAAAGUACGGCCACGACAACAGGCGGUAGACCCAGAAGCUGUCUGGAGGCUGACUGACUGAAGCUGUGCACUGUGCAGUGAUCUUCCCCUCUGGCAAUCCACAAUCAUAUUCCGCUGACCAACUUGAAAACAUUACCUUUCCCGCUGUGACAAGCCAAUCGUCGAUAUUCCGCCGCAUACAAACACAUCUCGGGCUCCUGAUACCCCGACGAGAACGGGUGCCAGAGGGGACGUUCGGAGCAUCCGACGUCCCCACGCAACCACUAGCUCUUUUUCUUUUCCUCUUUACCUCGUUCCCUUUCAACACGAUCGCGUCAUAUCACCGCAAUCUGCAUUCCCGCGCUCACCCAAAGAGCGUCGAUACUAGAAACUUCCUCAAAAGUUUUAACUUUAGAGCAUGACUGUCCUGAAAUAUGUCCGAUCGCGAUCACCCCCGUCAAAACACGCCGCUCGAAUCGCGAUCCCGUAUGACCAUCCAGGCACUACAGUUCACUCAAAAUAAGAAAUUCCCGUUCGACUCGCCGGUACCAACGUUCCCUGUCUCACUUGCGUAAAUUCUCAUUUUUCCUUUAUCACAUGUCGGGAAACGUACUCCAUAAAUAACAUCUCCGAACUCUCCAACGAGCGUGUAGUUUGGUGGCCCAUUCUUCUUCUGCCUUUUCCACCAAAAUUCAGCACUUUCUCAAAGCAGAUGAUGACACGCAAAGGAAACCUAUCCUCUUUCCAAAUGUAAAUAUCCUCAGAAUAAAGCCCCUCCAUCGCUAGUAACCAUGUCUCUCACUACCCACGGAUCUGCUUCUUUCAUCAAAACAAUACGGCGAUUAAACCGCAUAAAUCUCUCUAUAACCUUAUAAAUCGCGCACGCUCAGCUCCAAUUCUCAAUCAAAUAGAGGCGCCAGAAACCCACGAGGGAACAGUUCGCGAACAGGAGCACGAUCGCGCGCCUCAGAUAGAAAAAAAAAAAAAACAGGUAACAUCAAUCACGAUCGCCAGGUACUAGCGUUGUCGCCUGCCCGCGACAUUAAAAAUCCUUAGUAGCUCUUUAAUGCUCUCCUGUCUCGCAUACCCCGCACUAACCGCCACCUGAGCACAAAUACAUCUCAGACAUAGCUACGCACCAUCCGAGAGUGAGCUGAGUAUCACGUCGCCGCGCGCUGGCAUAUUACAUCCUACAACUUAAACAAAACCAAUCAGCGAAAGCAAUCAGCGUACUAUACUCAAACCUUAAGCUUUAUGUUGUGCCACCAACAUAACUCUUUUUAUUCAAUAAAUAACACUUGAUCACCCAAUAAAAUUAGCGACAUUAUUAACAAACUAACCCAAUUGUAGCUCGCCUAUCAUUAAAUUCAGGCCACUCGCAUUCAUGCCUAGUUCCAAUUCUAUAGUCCCUUCCCCUAGACUUAACUAUCACUUCUCGAUACCACUUAUCUGUACUCCCGCUAAAUCAACGGCCAAUAUGUAUCGAAUUACACGGCCAUGCAAGACCAGACGUACCAGAACCCCCGCGCACCAAAGCCACGGCAAUACAUUAUAGAAAAAACAAUUCCGAUGACACAUUUCAUAUACAUGGCUUGCACAGGCAAGCAACAAUCAAAGUAUAGUAACUAGCAUACUGAAAAUUCACUUAAUUUAAACUCUUCAAACUGAACUAUAUAACUAAACACAUUUAGAUAUAUUUACAUCUAUCAACAUACAUCUCAUUUACAUGCCUCACAUGAACUCAAAAUGAGAAACUACUAUACUCUGGUCACUAUAGCUAUAGUCGCGGGCUCUUACACGAUCCUCGCCACACCGCUCCACUGAACCGUAUGAUUUAUGUAUUGAGAAAACUACUGAAAAGUUCCCAGUGGGUUCG
rnacentral:lncRNA from 1 species